GACGGAGGGGGCAAGCGUUGUCCGGACUCACUGGGCGUAAAGCGCACGUAGGCGGAUAGGUGCGUCGGUACUGAAAGCGCCAGGCUUAACUUGGCGAGGCGUGCCGAUACGACUUAUCUGGAGGCAGGCAGAGGGUGGCGGAAUUCCGGGUGUAGUGGUGAAAUGCGUAGAGAUCCGGAGGAACGCCUGUGGCGCAAGCGGCCACCUGGGCCUGACCUGACGCUGAGGUGCGAAAGCGUGGGGAGCGAACCGG
rnacentral:rRNA from 1 species